GUGCCAGCGCGGUAAGACGAACCGUCCUAACGUUGUUUCGGAAUCACUGGGCUUUAAAGGGCGCGUAGGCGGGCUCUCAAGUCCGGGGCGAAAUCUUUCGGCUCAACCGGAAAAUAGCCUUGGAUACUGGGGAGUCUCGAGGGGAGGGUAGGGGGCGGGGUGGGAACUUCCCGGUGGAGCGGUGAAAUGCGUUGAUAUCGUAAGGAAGACCAGUGGCGAAGGCGGGUCUCUGGACAGUUCCUGACGCUGAGGCACGAAGGUCAGGGGGAGCAAACGGG
rnacentral:rRNA from 1 species